GGAAGAAAACUUUUCCUGGACAUCCUGUGCCCCACAUAGAACAGCCAUCUGGACCGUCACAGCCACAGCUGCCAGCCACAGCCCUCCACAAUUCCAUCACGGCCUAGAGACAACCGACAUACCAGAGAUACAGGUCCCAUUACCCCACUCAUCAAGUACCGUCGCCGUGUCAGGUCCUCCCUGAGAGUUGCAAGAGCUGGAGAACAGACACAAAAAUGGGGCGGUAACUGACCUGAAGGAUAUGCCCUACUACACCCUAACCCACCGGUAGUCCUUACCCUCAAGAUAGCCAAA